CGCGGUAACACGUAGGGGGCAAGCGUUGUCCGGAUUUAUUGGGCGUAAAGAGCUCGUAGGUGGUUCAGUAAGUCGGGUGUGAAAACUUCAGGCUCAACCUGGAGACGCCACCCGAUACUGCUGUGACUAGAGUCCAGUAGGGGAGCGUGGAAUUCCUGGUGUAGCGGUGAAAUGCGCAGAUAUCAGGAGGAACACCAGUGGCGAAGGCGGCGCUCUGGGCUGGCACUGACACUGAGGAGCGAAAGCGUGGGGAGCAAACAGG
rnacentral:rRNA from 1 species